CAGUCAUACCAACGGGAAAUCAACCUUUUGAGCUCGGUCUCGUGGGUUUUGAAGAGUUUCAAAGCCUUCGGAUUCGCGGGAUUGGGAUCUCUCGGUGUACUUUCUCGUACGGUUAGUCAACAUCGGUUUUGAAUGACAUAAAAUGACUGGAGGAAUGUAGCUUCGAUCUCGUAUUGAAGUGUUAUAGCCUUUGGUAGAUGUGAUGUUUGAGACCGAGGAUUGCAACGGAUACCCUUCAGGGCUAUUCGUCUGAUCUCUGAUACGUUGCCCUGAUGUUGAAAGCUUGCUUAUGAUGUUAGGGUAUUACGGUCAAAAGGUUAGAACGAAUUACAUUCGUUAAGGAUGUUGACGUAAUGACUUUAAACGA
rnacentral:rRNA from 1 species